UUCACUUCUGCAACUGGCCAAAGAGUCACUCACCUUUUGGAACAAUAUAAAACUGUAUCGACUGUGAAACAGGCAUACGCACCACUCUAAACUUAGAAGCAGGACAUGUGGUGAGGGAGCCUGUCUCAGUCACUCGGCUGGAUUGUUGGAAAAGUUGAUUUGAAAGUAUACUUAUCUAUGUGAAGGAACAUGAACAUGGACCCUUGAACUCAAGAAAUGACAACACCCCCCCGGCACAAUCUAGUAACAUUUUUUUAGUUUUUAUCUGUUUUGUUUGGUUUUCCAUCUCUGUCUUUGAUGGAAAACAACUAAUUAUGUGGCAUUUUUCAUUCAGAUGACACUUAGCAACGCGGUCCAUGUCCAAUUCUAUCUCACUACUGUAAAGCCUGCUUGUCUCUUGAAGAGUGAUAUUUAAAUUCUACCUUGACACACCUUUCUCCUGCCUCCACAUAUCUCUCAUUUCUGUGGAAGAUCGGGACGUUUGACGUCAGCACUUACCACACAAUAUUCCACUGCAAUCUAGUGCUAAUUAAAUUGCUAUAGCCUCCUUGCAAGACCAAGGUGUGUUCAUUUUUGUCUGAUUCAUAGUUAAGAUUUGUUGUAUUUUAUGUUAUUUAAACUCUUGUUUGACAUGUAGCCGUCAUUUCUAAGCUGCACUUUAUUGAUAAAUAUCAAGAUCAUUUCAAACUGUAAUUUAAGCAUAUCUUUGAGUUAUGUAUAUUUUUUUUAUCUUUAGGAGUAUAUAUAUUCUGUUUUAAUUUUAAACUGGAAAAGUAUAUUGUUUUUGUUUACAAGCCUCAUCUGUCUAUCAUUCCGAAAUGGACAAAUCUAGAAUCUGAUAGCAUUUAAGGACAAGGCA
ensembl:lncRNA